rnacentral:rRNA from 1 species
CCUACGGGUGGCAGCAGUGAGGAAUAUUGGUCAAUGGACGAGAGUCUGAACCAGCCAAGUAGCGUGAAGGAUGACUGCCCUAUGGGUUGUAAACUUCUUUUAUAAAGGAAUAAAACGAGGCACGUGUGCCUUUUUGCAUGUACUUUAUGAAUAAGGAUCGGCUAACUCCGUGCCAGCAGCCGCGGUAAUACGGAGGAUCCGAGAGUUAUCCGGAUUUAUUGGGUUUAAAGGGAGCGUAGAUGGGUUGUUAAGUCAGUUGGGAAAGUUUGCGGCUCAACCGUAAGAUUGCAAUUGAGACUGGCAGUCUUGAGUACAGUUGAGGUAGGCGGAAUUCGUGGUGUAGCGGUGAAAUGCUUAGAUAUCACGAAGAACCCCGAUUGCGAAGGCAGCUUACUAAACUGUGACUGACAUUGAUGCCCGAAAGUGUGGGUAUCAAACAGGAUUAGAUACCCUAGUAGUC